rnacentral:rRNA from 1 species
UUGUAAACUCGAUCUCAAAUCA